rfam:Oryza glumipatula chromosome 2, whole genome shotgun sequence.
AAAAAGACAAACCCUAAGUUUCCGUGUUUAAUGUUUGACUGUCCGUCUUAUAUGAAAUUUUUUUAUGAUUAGUAUUUUCAUUAUUGUUAGAUGAUAAAACAUGAUUAAUAUUUUAUGCGUGACUUACCUUUUUAUUUUUUUUCAUAAUUUUUUCAAAUAAGACGGACGGUCAAAUGCUGGACACGGAAACCCAGGGUUUGUCUUUUU